UACGUAGGGAGCAAGCGUUGUUCGGAGUUACUGGGCGUAAAGGGUGCGUAGGCGGCUUUUUAAGUUUGGUGUGAAAUCUCCCGGCUCAACUGGGAGGGUGCGACGAAUACUGAGAGGCUAGAGUGUGGGAGAGGAAAGUGGAAUUCCUGGUGUAGCGGUGAAAUGCGUAGAUAUCAGGAGGAACACCGGUGGUGUAAACGGCUUCCUGGACCAUAACUGACGCUGAUGCACGAAAGCGUGGGUAGCAAACAGG
rnacentral:rRNA from 1 species